rnacentral:rRNA from 1 species
GAUGAACGCUGGCGGCGUGCCUAAUACAUGCAAGUCGAGCGAACAGACGAGGAGCUUGCUCCUCUGACGUUAGCGGCGGACGGGUGAGUAACACGUGGAUAACCUACCUAUAAGACUGGGAUAACUUCGGGAAACCGGAGCUAAUACCGGAUAAUAUAUUGAACCGCAUGGUUCAAUAGUGAAAGACGGUUUUGCUGUCACUUAUAGAUGGAUCCGCGCCGCAUUAGCUAGUUGGUAAGGUAACGGCUUACCAAGGCAACGAUGCGUAGCCGACCUGAGAGGGUGUCCGCCCACACGGGACCUGAACCACGGCCCAAACUCCUAGGGGGGGAAGAAGUAGGGAAUUUUCCGAAAGGGGCAAAGGCCGGACGGAGCACCGCGGGGGGAGUGAGAAAGGUCUUCGGAUCGUAAAACUCUUUUAUGAGGAAAAAAAAAAUGUUAAAGAAACUAUGCCCGUCUUGAGGGUACCUAAUAAGAAGCCCCGGCCAAGCUCCGUC